rnacentral:rRNA from 1 species
UAAUACGUAGGGGGCGAGCGUUGUCCGGAAUCAUUGGGCGUAAAGCGCGUGUAGGCGGCUUGGCAAGUCUUGCGUGAAAUCCUGCGGCUCAACCGCAGGCCUGCGCGGGAUACUGCCUCGCUAGAGUCCGGAAGAGGAGAGUGGAAUUCCCAGUGUAGCGGUGGAAUGCGCAGAUAUUGGGAGGAACACCCGUGGCGAAGGCGGCUCUCUGGGACGGUACUGACGCUGAGACGCGAAAGCGUGGGGAGCGAACAGGAUUAGAUACCCUGGUAGUCCACGCCGUAAACGAUGGGCGCUAGGUGUGGGCGGUGUCGACUCCGUCCGUGCCGAAGCUAACGCAUUAAGCGCCCCGCCUGGGGAGUACGGUCGCAAGACUA